UUUUAUUCAGGAGUAGAAAUGCAUACUGCAGUAUAUGUUCAUUUCUCUUAUGAGAGUAUAUGUUUAUACUUGUUUCUAUUUUGUUUUGUUACAUUUUAUACUUGCUUAUAUACCUGUUCGGUAUUUUGUAUGAUUAUUUCCUUAUGUCAGAAAGAGUAUGUGAUAUCUGUCCUUUUGAGACUGGCUUAUUUCACUGAGCAUAAUGGUCUCCAAUUGGGACCACUUCCAUUGCACAUAGUAGAAUUUCAUUCUUUUCAAUAGCUAUGUAGAAUGUAUGGAGUAGAGAUACCACAGCUUUCCUCUCUGUCCCUUGUUCAAUGGGUAUCCGGGUUGUUUCCAUGUUUUUGCUAUUGUGGAUUAUGCUGAGAAGCAUAUAGGUAGCUUUCUCAUAUGUAGUCGCCACUUCUCAGGAGUAGGAUUGCUGGGUCAUACAGUAGAUUGAUUUUCAGUUGUCUUAGCAUUCUUCAUACUGAUUUCCGUAGUGGCUACACUAACCUACAUUCCCAUCAGCAGUGAAGUAUGGAAUCAUUUCCCUCCCCCACAUCCUCACAGAGGCUAAGUAUUAGGCACUCUGGUGAGCUGUAGCUCAAUCAAACCCACCCAAUGAUUCACACCCUGUUCCAUCCAUUCACUACUCAAUCAAUGCCGAUCUUUGCAGGUGUUUAGUUUGUCAGUUGGACUAUGCUCUGAGUGUCUCUGGUGUUCAUGGCCCACUAUACUUGACAGUUUUGGAAAACCAAAGCAAAGCUUUUCAUGCACUUAGUUUUUGGCCAGCUCAGCCUCUAUGAGUCUGUCUGAUUCCUACAUAGUCAUUUGAACUGCAUGCUAUUUUAAAGACAUGCAAUUUUAAUGCAAUGUAAUUAUAAGUAUAAAUGUUUUUCUUUCCUGAAUUACUUGCAGGGAAUUGUAAUUGGUAUCAUGGGACAGAUAUUAUCAGAUCAAUUACAAGGAUUCCUAUUGCAAGAAAUAGUGAGUGGCUUUUAAAAGGGUGGGGUAGCCUUAUAUAGCUAUUUUUUUAAAAUUGUACUCAAAAGGUCAUUCAAUCAAAACUCAAAGAGUUGCAACCAAGCAUCACUCCCUUUCAAUAUUAUAUUUCGAUACUAGUCUACAAUAAUUGCUCACAAAUUAGAGCAACAAUAUUUUUCAAAGUCAGAUUUCCAUCAUUCAGGGGAAAAUCAAGAGGUUUGUGGCUUUUCUUGGGCCAGAUUUCCACCCUGGAGCCCGUUUUCCAGUUAUGUCAGGUUUCAUUGGCUAAUUCAGUAGAACCUUGAGGGAGAAACAUGAGAUUUGGAAAAUUGGAGAACUGCAGAAUGUUGGAGCUCCUCUAGUUAACCUCUUCAUUUCAAAGGUGAAGAAACCAAGGAAGGGAGUGGCUAAACAACCUGCCUGGCAUUAUGGGAUGAGUUCCAAGAGAACAAGGAUUGGAGGCUGGGUUUCCUGCUCUCCAGGCCAAAAUCAUCCACAAAAUUUAUUUUGUGAGGAGAGAGAAAUAAUCUUUAAAAAUGAAACAGGACAGAAGAGAAAAUGUUGGAAUGCAUCACAGCUGUCGAGUGGAUGCAACAGGUGCUCGGUGACUGUCAAAUGAAUGAACGCACACGCACAUUGCAGAGCCCAGGAAUUGGAGAGAAGCUGAAUAUUUGGGACUUUCCUACUGUUCACCCAUCAAUGAUAACAAAAGAUAAAGAAGCAAAAGACAUUUGUCCCCUAUAAUGAUAAAUAUCCAGUAUGCACUGUGGCUUUCUUGAAGAAAAGUUACCCGAAGAUUGUAAUGGCAUAAUCACAUAUAUUGCAUACUUGUAUGUAUGUGUGUAACUUCUUAUUGAUGAAGAAAAACCAAAACACCUAGCUAUACCCAUAUCUGGGGUUGACUUUAACUCUUUGUCAGCUUGCUGAUGCUUUCCUAAUUCUGAUUCGGCAGCAAUUCUUGAGAAUUAUAAGGAAAAAGGAUUAGCUCAGAAACAAAAGGGCCUAUCCCUGCUAAUAAUAUGGCUCAGUGAUACUAAGAAAAAGGAAAUCUCGGAAGGCCACUCCUCCACUCUAGUAAUCUCAGGACAUCUAAAUUGGGAGUUGGUGGCCAUGUAAACAAAUUCAAAUUACCUUCCAGCAAAAACCUCCAACUACUCGUUUGAGAUGGUUUUGGCUGGAGGAUGUGAAUUGAGAUCAGAAUCAGAAAGCCACAGAAAUACUGAAAUAGCUGAAGCAUAGACAUAGUCAUUACAGGAAACUCAUGGAGGCUCAAAAGAGGUUAGAAAAAGAAAAGGAAAAGCUGCUGCAAGAGGAUCCGGUGGCAUUGCCUUCCCUUCUGGAGGUCUUGAUGAAAUCCUCUGAAGAGGAAGGGGAAGGGGGAGUUAAAGGUGCAGAGCCAGCAGCUUAGACAGCCACAAAACAGGAAGUGGGAGUGCUGACGCAACCCAAGUGCAACUGAAGGCAACCCAGCAGCCAAGCUGCUCCAGAGUAACCACCACAGUAAAAGCAGUGUGUCUGAGCCAUGUGUCAAACAGAGGACAAUGCCAAUUUCCCUGUUGCUGUGACCCCAACAUGGGUUUACUAGUGUUACAAAGGGACUUCAAAAGCUUCAUGGGAAACAUAUACUAUGAAAAACCAAGCCCUGCAAGGAUUUUAAACUGCUUUUGCACCAAAAUAGACUUAUCAUUUCAUUUUAUUUCCCCAGGACUCAUUGUGUUCCCUUGUGUGAUCAUUCUAGAAUUAUUUUUAUUUUUCCAGACUUGGAUAAAAUAUUGCUUGAAAUAAAUGGACCUCUAGAUUUA